UCCAUCCUAGCCCACCUGUCUCUCCCACUGAAUGCAUGGAGCAGCUAUCUCGGAAAGGAAAGCAUAACAGGAAGAUCAGGGAAGGAAAGGAGAAAUCCAAGUACCACCAAACUGGCACUGCAGGGCCAGAAACUAAAGUCAGAGACCAGUAAAGAAGAGAUGGGUCCUCCUGCAAUUGUUUCUCCUUGGUUCCUUUAAAUAUCAGUGGCCUCUCGUCUCCCUCUCCUGAUUGACUCCCAGCUAUGGGCUUGCUUGGCUCAAGGAAGAACCAUGGAUCUGUGAACCUCAGCAGAAGGGAAGGACGUGUUUGUCCUCAAAGACUGCCUCGUGUCCUGGGCAACCACUGGGGUGCCAGAAAACACAACUGCUCCUCUCCUGACGUUGUUUUGAAAUAACCAGGGACCCUUCACCCACAAAAAAUCCACCGCACACUGAAGCUGAAAUACCAGCCACCCUGCUUCCCCCUCUCAGUUUUGUAUUCUGUCUGUUCCCUACCUCAUCGUAACACUUACUAAGAAUCUGGCCUCCUUUCCACUCAUUGCAGGUGCCAGCGCAGACAAUCCGCAUUACUUGGUUUUCAUUGAUGUCAGCAGUGGUAAUGAUUAAGUGGAAACACCCCACCCCAUUCAAAUGUCUCCGUCUUCCCUGCUGAUCCCUAUUGCAAGUGAAAGCACAGUGUUUCCUUCCCAUAUUCCUCCCAGGGCUUGUGGCUAGAGUGCAAGUGAGGUGAAACAGGGGAAAACAAAUCCUCUUGACUCAAAUCUCACCAUCACCCUUCCAGCAGCUCCAAACGUCAGCAUCCUCCCUACGUGGACACAGCAGUCUUUGGAAAAACUCAGAAUGGAUAUUUUACUACCAAGUGGUACCAAACAAUAACUGAAGACAUAAGCAAAGCAGAAGUAUAUGCAUAUAUAAAAGUGUACCAAGAUGCACACUUCUGACGUGUUCUCUUUACGUAAAUUGUGACCCAGGAUAAAAAUUUUAAUAAAGCAGAAUUCUAGAAUCCUAACUAAUGUAGGAUCUGGGGGCGAGGGCCAUCCAGAAUGCUGUUACUCACUUUAAGAGUCCAAUGUCCUGGGUGGCCUUUGACAAGAGGACAUCAAAACAGUGAAGAAUGAUUGCUGAUUGUUGUUUCAAGAAAAGAACAAUAAAAGGUAAGGCACCCCCCAUCACAGACACACGCACGCACGCACGCACGCACACACACACUUGCCCUCACAUUCUCAAUCCCUAGAAGAGAUUUGAAAAAGAAAAGCCCAAGAAAUUCCAAGCAUGAAUACCUCCCCAGAUAAGACAGAAAUGGAAGAAAACCAAACUUUUUAAAGUAAGCAUUUUGAUCUUCAUGCAAACAUGGAGUUAAUCUUGGGACAGCUAAGCACAAUUACACAGAUGAAUUCAUGGUGUGAAAUGGUCAUUGAGCGUAGAGAAUGUUAGUGCCAGUUCAGAGUCCAAGCUCUGUAGGGGUCAUACCUGAAUCUGCUGAGCUGAGCACAUGGAAACCUCAGUGUGCAUUCAGGCUUGACCACUCUUUUUAAUUUAUUUCAGAGUUGCUCACUGGGGUGGCCUUCAGGAAAUGCAAAUAGAAUGUCCAUCGCGGUGUUUAAAGACUGCAGGGUUUUGAUGCGUGUUAAACUGAAAAUAUAAAUAAAAA